rnacentral:rRNA from 1 species
CCGGCGAUGUCCGAAUGGGGAAACCCAGUGCAAUUCGUUGCACUAUCGUUAACUGAAUACAUAGGUUAACGAGGCGAACCGGGGGAACUGAAACAUCUAAGUACCCCGAGGAAAAGAAAUCAACCGAGAUUCCCCCAGUAGCGGCGAGCGAACGGGGAGCAGCCCAGAGUCUGAAUCAGCUUGUGUGUUAGUGGAACGGUCUGGAAAGUCCGACGGUACAGGGUGAUAGUCCCGUACACCAAAAUGCACAGGCUGUGAACUCGAAGAGUAGGGCGGGACACGUGGUAUCCUGUCUGAAUAUGGGGGGACCAUCCUCCAAGGCUAAAUACUCCUGACUGACCGAUAGUGAACCAGUACCGUGAGGGAAAGGCGAAAAGAACCCCGGCGAGGGGAGUGAAAAAGAACCUGAAACCGUGUACGUACAAGCAGUGGGAGCACCUUCGGGUGUGACUGCGUACCUUUUGUAUAAUGGGUCAGCGACUUAUAUUCUGUAGCAAGGUUAACCGUAUAGGGGAGCCGCAGGGAAACCGAGUCUUAACUGGGCGUUAAGUUGCAGGGUAUAGACCCGAAACCCGGUGAUCUAGCCAUGGGCAGGUUGAAGGUUGGGUAACACUAACUGGAGGACCGAACCGACUAAUGUUGAAAAAUUAGCGGAUGACUUGUGGCUGGGGGUGAAAGGCCAAUCAAACCGGGAGAUAGCUGGUUCUCCCCGAAAGCUAUUU